rnacentral:rRNA from 1 species
AGUGAACGCUGGCGGUAGGCCUAACACAUGCAAGUCGAACGGCAGCACAGUAAGAGCUUGCUCUUACGGGUGGCGAGUGGCGGACGGGUGAGGAAUACAUCGGAAUCUACUUUUUCGUGGGGGAUAACGUAGGGAAACUUACGCUAAUACCGCAUACGACCUACGGGUGAAAGCAGGGGAUCUUCGGACCUUGCGCGAUUGAAUGAGCCGAUGUCGGAUUAGCUAGUUGGCGGGGUAAAGGCCCACCAAGGCGACGAUCCGUAGCUGGUCUGAGAGGAUGGUCAGCCACACGGGAACUGAGACACGGUCCAGACUCCUACGGGAGGCAGCAGUGGGGAAUAUGGGACAAUGGGCGCAAGCCUGAUCCAGCCAUACCGCGUGGGUGAAGAAGGCGUUCGGGUUGUAAAGCCCUUUUGUUGGGAAAGAAAAGCAGCAGGUUAAUACCCCGCGGUUCUGACGGUACCCAAAGAAUAAGCACCGGCUAACUUCGUG